GGGUUGUGAGGUUAAGCGACUAAGCGUACACGGUGGAUGCCCUGGCAGUCAGAGGCGAUGAAGGGCGUGCUAAUCUGCGAUAAGCGCCGGUAAGGUGAUAUGAACCGUUAUAACCGGCGAUACCCGAAUGGGGAAACCCAGUGUGACUCGUCACACUAUCAUUAACUGAAUCCAUAGGUUAAUGAGGCGAACCGGGGGAACUGAAACAUCUAAGUACCCCGAGGAAAAGAAAUCAACCGAGAUUCCCCCAGUAGCGGCGAGCGAACGGGGAGGAGCCCAGAGCCUGAAUCAGCAUGUGUGUUAGUGGAAGCGUCUGGAAAGGCGCGCGAUACAGGGUGAC
rnacentral:rRNA from 4 species